UCCUCUUUUUUAAAAUAUAUAUAUAUAUAUAUAUAAACAUGUUUUCUCUCGUUAUAGAAAAUGUGUCUUAAAAUGAAUGGACAUCAUGUCCAACAACAAAAGGCUUUCACCCAUAUAUGUCGUCAAGCUCAGUCCUCUGGUGGCUGUCAUUCAAGGCGUGUCCCUGGGCAGGGAAUGCCCCGAUCAACUUAAUUCGAGGUAAAGGGACCUCAACACAAGCACAUGGUUGGCACCAAUAGGGGAUAAAAGUGGGCAGAUGAAUUUCGAUCCGUGCUGACUCUGAGAGUCGUGGGUUCACCACACCCUUCACCUACGUCCAGUUAAAAGGGAGUACCAAGCCUCUAGGGAGACUAUAGGGAAAAGAGCAUGAAAGGGCUACCUGACUCGACAAAAGUCUGAAUCAAGUGUGAAGCCACAUGCCACCCUAAGAGGUGAUAACAAGGGCCAAAAAAAUAAGCCUGCGAGGAUUAUUAGUUACAUAAAGUUGAAGAGCUACCCUCUGAAUUCAUUGAAGACAAAAUCCAAGAAGCAAAAUAAAAGGAGAGAAAGAAAAAGGAGACAUAGUCAAGUGUCUCGAAGCUCUCAAUAAUAAAAAAAAUCAAGGUGUCAAGUGAACGAAGGAGGAGGGUAGCUAUUCAUCGUCCUCGGCAAAAGUAAAGGCAAAAAAAAAGAAAUACCAUAACCAGUUUCCCUCCAAACCAAUUCCAAAGAUAUAGCUGUAUCCUAUGUUCCCUACUGGACAAUGGUAGAAGGUGUGAGGCACAUGACUGAAGGGAGGCUCGGAGGUAAUUUCUCUGACCUAAAGAGGUCCUAAUGAAGUGCUAAUCUCUCAACACGUAUAUCACGAGGAAACUAAACCUCAAGUGAAGGUUGUGUCGUUGACCUUUUAUGUCAAAAUACACCCUUGGAUGACGUCGCCGG
rnacentral:lncRNA from 1 species